AUUGAACGCUGGCGGCAUGCUUUACACAUGCAAGUCGAACGGCAGCGCGGGGCAACCUGGCGGCGAGUGGCGAACGGGUGAGUAAUACAUCGGAACGUACCCAGAAGUGGGGGAUAACGUAGCGAAAGUUACGCUAAUACCGCAUACGUUCUACGGAAGGAAGUGGGGGACCUUUGGGCCUCAUGCUUUUGGAGCGGCCGAUGUCUGAUUAGCUAGUUGGUGAGGUAAAGGCUUACCAAGGCGACGAUCAGUAGCUGGUCUGAGAGGACGACCAGCCACACUGGGACUGAGACACGGCCCAGACUCCUACGGGAGGCAGCAGUGGGGAAUUUUGGACAAUGGGCGCAAGCCUGAUCCAGCAAUGCCGCGUGAGUGAAGAAGGCCUUCGGGUUGUAAAGCUCUUUUGUCAGGGAAGAAACGGCUGGGGUUAAUACCUUCGGCUAAUGACGGUACCUGAAGAAUAAGCACCGGCUAACUACGUGCCAGCCGCCGCCGUAA
rnacentral:rRNA from 1 species